rnacentral:rRNA from 1 species
UACGGGGGGAGCAAGCGUUAUCCGGAAUUAUUGGGCGUAAAGAGCUCGUAGGCGGUUUGUCGCGUCUGCUGUGAAAAUCCGGGGCUCAACCCCGGACUUGCAGUGGGUACGGGCAGACUAGAGUGUGGUAGGGGAGACUGGAAUUCCUGGUGUAGCGGUGAAAUGCGCAGAUAUCAGGAGGAACACCGAUGGCGAAGGCAGAUCUCUGGGCCACUACUGACGCUGAGAAGCGAAAGCAUGGGGAGCGAACAGG